GUCUCAGCCAGAUAUUCUUGACAAGUAUGGUCAGUUUCUGGAUCCUAAUGGCUGCAACAGGGCUGUCUCGAUGAGAAGCUGGGUCACUCUCAAGGGUUAGACUUGAUAGUAUUCUUGCAAGCUUGGAAAAAAAGAUGAUCUAAAGCAUCCCUACUGCACUGGGUACACACUAUGUUUGAAGUCAGAGGAGCAGCGAUGACAAAAGGAGAAUGUCUCCGCAGCAAGAGUCCUUUGUAUAUAUUAUGCCCUCGUUGAAUCCUCAAAAGAAUUUCAUGAGGCAGGCCUAUGCCAUUUGCAGGUGUGGCCUCUUGAAGUCCUCACAACAUUCUGAAAAGCUCUGAGGUUCUGCCUUCAUCAUUUCUUGCCUGGAUCAACACAAGGCCCCUGACCCCUGUUUCCCAUAUUCUCUCCUCCACACUACCUGCUGCCAGAGCCAGCUUCUUACAACAAAAAACAAGUCUGAGUCACGCUCCUGUUCAAAAUGUGUGAGUAGCUCCCCUCCUUACUCUGGUCUAUGAGGCUCUGUAAGAUCCAGCCACUGCAGCUCAGGUCUUCCAGCUGUAUCUCUUGCGCUCUGCCUCUUUCGAAUCUCAAUGCAGCCAGGUGCAAGUACUCAAAGCUUCUGUGGGCACCACAUUCUCUGUCCUCCAGGCCUCUAGAGGCUCUGCAUGGCCCCUCCGCCCCUCCCACCUGACUCAGGGUGUGCAUCCUUCUAAGACUUGGAUAACUUUGUGUGAGAAGCCUUAUCCCUUGGACCAUGCAUCCCUGCCUCCACUGAGCUCAUCCAGUCCCCUGUGCGACCACAAUCACAGUUCUCAUCUACCAGAAUUGUUGCCGCCUGGGUGCCAGGCUGCUUCUCCACCUGAUCUUGGACUUGAAGAGGCUGGAGAGGGGAGAGCCAUCGGGGGGGCUCACUGCUGGGUCCAAGCCUGGUUCCGAGCAGUUGCUCUUUAACAUUUGGGGACCAAAUGAAUGAACUACAAUGUGUCCCGGGUCUGAGAAGUACGGGGCUCUGGAAGCGGUCUCUGUACCCAGGGCAGUUAAUGUAGUCAGAGAGACCAGCACUAGCUAGCUAAGAAGCUAACCGACAACAAAAGGCUUGGGAAGCAGCUUGAGGAAGAAGCUGGGUCUACACAGGUUGCGUGAUGAACUGCGCCAAGUCACUUCCUCAGCGAAGCCUCUGCAGACAUUUCUCAGUGCUCACAACUAGAGAUUCCCAGGUGAAGGACCUGCUCGGUCUAGCCCUGGCCAGCUCUCUGGGUGUUUUUUCUGAAAAUGGGACUCACCGCCUCCCGGCCUGAUUCAGUGGCUA